rnacentral:rRNA from 1 species
AGCUAGUUGGUGAGGUAAUGGCUCACCAAGGCAAUGACACCUAACUGGUUUGAGAGGAUGAUCAGUCACACUGGAACUGAGACACGGUCCAGACUCCUACGGGAGGCAGCAGUGGGGAAUAUUGCACAAUGGACGAAAGUCUGAUGCAGCAACGCCGCGUGGAGGAUGACACAUUUCGGUGCGUAAACUCCUUUUAUAUAGGAAGAUAAUGACGGUACUAUAUGAAUAAGCACCGGCUAACUCCGUGCCAGCAGCCGCGGUAAUACGGAGGGUGCAAGCGUUACUCGGAAUUACUGGGCGUAAAGAGCGUGUAGGCGGGUAAAUAAGUUGGAAGUGAAAUCCUAUGGCUCAACCAUAGAACUGCUUCCAAAACUGUUAACCUAGAAUGUGGGAGAGGUAGAUGGAAUUUCUGGUGUAGGGGUAAAAUCCGUAGAUAUCAGAAGGAAUACCGAUUGCGAAGGCGAUCUACUGGAACAUAAUUGACGCUGAGACGCGAAAGCGUGGGGAGCAAACAGGAUUAGAUACCCUGGUAGUCCACGCCCUAAACGAUGUACACUAGUUGUUGUGAGGCUAGACCUUGCAGUAAUGCAGUUAACACAUUAAGUGUACCGCCUGGGGAGUACGGUCGCAAGAUUAAAACUCAAAGGAAUAGACGGGGACCCGCACAAGCGGUGGAGCAUGUGGUUUAAUUCGACAUACGCGAAGAACCUUACCUGGUCUUGACAUAGAAAGAACUUUCCAGAGAUGGAUUGGUGCCUGCUUGCAGGAGCUUUCAUACAGGUGCUGCACGGCUGUCGUCAGCUCGUGUCGUGAGAUGUUGGGUUAAGUCCCGCAACGAGCGCAACCCUCGUCGUUAGUUGCUAACAGUUCGGCUGAGAACUCUAACGAGACUGCCUACGCAAGUAGGAGGAAGGUGAGGACGACGUCAAGUCAUCAUGGCCCUUACGACCAGGGCUACACACGUGCUACAAUGGGGUAUACAAAGAGCAGCGAUACGGUGACGUGGAGCGAAUCUCAAAAAUGCCUCCCAGUUCGGAUAGUAGUCUGCAACUCGACUACUUGAAGUUGGAAUCGCUAGUAAUCGUAGAUCAGCUAUGCUACGGUGAAUACGUUCCCGGGUCUUGUACUCACCGCCCGUCACACCAUGGGAGUUGAAUUCAUUCGAAGCGGGGACGCUAAAAUAGCUACCUUCCACAGUGGAUUUAGCGACUGGGGUGAAGUCGUAACAAGGUAACCGUAGGAGAACCUGCGGUUG